rnacentral:rRNA from 1 species
GAUCCUGGCUUAGGAUGAACGCUAGCUACAGGCUUAACACAUGCAAGUCGAGGGGCAGCAUGGUCUUAGCUUGCUAAGGCCGAUGGCGACCGGCGCACGGGUGAGUAACACGUAUCCAACCUGCCGUCUACUCUUGGGACAGCCUUCUGAAAGGAAGAUUAAUACAAGAUGGCAUCAUGAGUCCACAUGUUCACAUGAUUAAAGGUAUUCCGGUAGACGAUGGGGAUGCG